CGGCUCAAUAGUAACCCUGACACCAGGGUUGAUGAGGUUGGUACGUCACCUCACAACCCACACGAUAAGAAGAAGAUUGGCAAAAAUAUAUCUCCAACUCCUAUCUCUAAAGACGAUGAUAACCAUUGUGAAGAAUGACAUGCAAAGGCUAUUAGAACCACAUAUCAACAAUUUUCUGACCAUGACCAAGUGAUGAAUAUGAUAAAAGUCUACCUCAUGAAAGCCACACUACUUUUCAAAGAAAAAUAUUUUCUUUGGAGUUGUAGGUAUUAUAGUGAAAACUUAAUCUUGACUUCUGUUCUGCAUAAAUGAGAAUCGCACUAUGCCAGGUAACAUAAUGUAGCGAGUACCCUGGUUGAGUCAAGAUAAUAUAAAAUAAGUGGAAAGAUAAUGUGGCCCAAGUAUGUGAUGAUGUGCAAACAGCCGAAUGUGAAUCUGGUAA